GACGAACGCUGGCGGCGUGCUUAACACAUGCAAGUCGAACGAAGUGGCGAACGGGUGAGUAACGCGUAAUCAACCUGCCCUUCAGAGGGGGACAACAGUUGGAAACGACUGCUCAUACCGCAUACUGAAGGAGGGGAUUGCGUCUGAUUAGUUAGUUGGGGGGGUAACGGCCCACCAAGGCGAUGAUCAGUAGCCGGACUGGGAGGAUGAACGGCCAAAUUGGGACCGGGACACGGCCCAGAAUCCUACGGGAGGCAGCAGUGGGGAAUCUUCCGCAAUGGACGAAAGGCUGACGGGGCAACGCCGCGUGAGUGAUGACGGCCUUCGGGUUGUAAAGCUCUGUUAAUCGGGACGCGGUACCGGAAUAGAAAGCCACGGCUAACUACGUGCCAGCAGCCGCGGUAAUUC
rnacentral:rRNA from 1 species